rnacentral:rRNA from 1 species
UACGGAGGGAGCUAACGUUGUUCGGAAUUACUGGGCGUAAAGGGCGCGUAGGCGGAUACUUAAGUCGGGGGUGAAAGCCCGGGGCUCAACCUCGGAAUUGCCUUCGAUACUGGGUAUCUUGAGUUCGGGAGAGGUGAGUGGAAUGCCGAGUGUAGAGGUGAAAUUCGUAGAUAUUCGGCGAAAGCAACCACGAUGGCGGCAGGACGGCGACUCACUGGCCCGAUACUGA